rnacentral:rRNA from 1 species
AUUGAACGCUGGCGGCAUGCUUUACACAUGCAAGUCGAACGGUAACAGGUUAAGCUGACGAGUGGCGAACGGGUGAGUAAUGCAUCGGAACGUGCCCGAUCGUGGGGGAUAACGCAGCGAAAGCUGCGCUAAUACCGCAUACGAUCUGAGGAUGAAAGCGGGGGACCGUAAGGCCUCGCGCGAUCGGAGCGGCCGAUGUCAGAUUAGGGAGUUGGUGGGGUAAAGGCUCACCAAGCCGACGAUCUGUAGCUGGUCUGAGAGGACGACCAGCCACACUGGGACUGAGACACGGCCCAGACUCCUACGGGAGGCAGCAGUGGGGAAUUUUGGACGAUGGGCGAAAGCCUGAUCCAGCAAUGCCGCGUGCAGGAAGAAGGCCCUCGGGUUGUAAACUGCUUUUGUACGGAGCGAAAAGGCUCUCUCUAAUACAGGGGGCUCAUGACGGUACCGUAAGAAUAAGCACCGGCUAACUACGUGCCAGCCGCCGCCGUAA